rnacentral:lncRNA from 1 species
GUUGAGCCCUGGGGUGGUGACCUGAGACACACUGGUCCUUUCAGCCCUGGUGAAAAGACAGAGAAGAGAUAAAGUGGGUGUGAAGGUUAUUGCACACUAAUUUGUAACCGCCCCUUUCAGAGCUUUUCUUAGAAUCCACCAUCUGUGGUAUGUUAUCAUCUUCAAAGCCCAUGAUAUACAUUAGGAAAUGGGGAAAUAACUAAAAAUCUUGCUAAAAGUCAUGCUGUUAGUUGUAAUCCAAGGAUUUAAAGCCAGUUCUGAUUCCAAAAUCUGUAUCUACUAUACUUAGACGUGUCAUUAUAAAUACCACCUCUUUUACCCCAGAAAAUCUCUCCUAGAUGAGGUAUGCGCAAUUAAAUCCAGAACCCAAGGCACUGUAUCAGAUAAAAUCACCUAGUAUUUUGGGCAAGUAAAUUGCAGGAAAAAGAAAAAAAGGGGAGAGAAUAUAACCUAUCAAUUAAAAAUUAUUUAGAGAUAACAAAUUUUAGUGGAUAGACUUUAUUUAGAUUCUCAUUCAAAAAAAAGCAUAGAUAGAUAGAUAUAGAUAGAUAUGACAGACAGAUGAUAGAUACCUAGUUGAUUGGUUGGUUGAUUGAUUGAUUGAUUGAUUGGCUGAUUGAGAGAAGAAAGAAGGAAAAACUGAUCAGAUUGAGGAGUUUGCAUUCUAAGCUAGCUAGAAUUAUAAAUUUAUUUUUCAUUAUCUAUCAUGUGUGACACUACAGUGAUUAGGUCUUUGAAGGAAGUCCUCUCAAGAUCCAUACUAACAUAUUUCUGGAAUAUAUUCACUGUCUGGGACGAACUGAGCCCUAAAGGACUGGAGAGUAAAGGAGCUGCGUCUGUCCUGGCUGCUGUGGCCCAGUGACAGGCACAUGGGGAAUGCUGAGCUCUGCGUCCGUUUUAUAUAUGCUGAAAAACUUUCCACAAUAAAAUGUAAAACCAAACCAAGGACAAACUCUGCCCUCAGCUGCCUGAGAAACGAGUUGCUCUGGCCACCUGUACCCUCCCUACUCCCCUGCAGUAGAGCACAGUGCAUGUCACUUCCAUCACUGUCCUGGUUUCUAGACCUGAUACAGACAUUGGACUUCUGCCCACUGGAGACUCCUGUCCUGCCUCUCAAGCCUUGAUAGAAACAGCCCCAGGGCCCAGCACACCCAAGAACCCAGGAAACUGUUCCAUGUGGGGAAAGGUGAUUGUUGAAAAGGCUGCAAGUCUGCCGUUUGUGUUACUGGCUUCAUAAUCCUGAGCAAAGCCUCCUACCUUGAUGGCCUGGGAGGGUGGUUGUGACGACCAGGAGGAAUCGCAAAAACAAUCAGAUCCAUUCAUCCUGAAGGUCUGGGCUCCCAGGGGUCUUGAGCUGCUAAGAUCCGGCAGCGAAUCAGACUGUCUCUCUCAAUCUCUCCUUCCUCUCUCUCCCUCAUCGUGAAUGUUUUCCUGAAUCCUGACUACCUCUCCCAAUGGAUUUCCACCCCUGAAGAAAGGAUCCACACUGUCGGUGUCUUCGUGUUUCCUGAACAUUUUAGUUACUUUUCUCGAUGUGACAAAAUGCCCAACAGAAGUGAUUUGGGCAUCAUGAGAGGAUACAGCCCAUCAAGGCAGAAAAAUCACAGUGGCAGGCAUGUGAGUCUCCUGGUCCUAUGGCAUGCAUUCCUCAGUUUACCCCAUCUAGAAAACUCCUCAUAGACAUGUCCAGAGGUCUGUCUCCUAGGCAAUUCUGGAUCCUGUCGAGUUGACAGUCUUAACCUCCACAAGUGAGGUAGGAAGAGCAUGGCUUUGGGAUCAGAGAGAUCUGGGUUCAACUACUAUACCUGUCACUCCCUAACUGCAGAGGCUUCAGCAAAUGUUUAAAGCCCUUCUCCAUGAAAUAGCCAUAGUGACCUCCAGAAGAAUUUAAUGAAGGAAAUUAAUUACCCAGGCCCCGCCAUGCCGUCGACGUCAUUCUCCAUACUAAUGUGUGACUGGCUUUCACUAGCUGCUUCACUAGCUGCUUCUCUGCCUUGGGCUGUCCAUGGAUAGAGUUGUUCAUGUCUGUCAUAACACAAAGGCCCCCAGUGGACUUCCCAAGCUGUGUCCCUUCAUGUAGGACCACCUACCCAAAGGACGGUACCUUUGUCUGCUUUAUAUGCAAAUGCUGAGUGUGCUCACAUUGCCCCUACUUGGGAGAAAAAUGGUGGUCCCUCAGAAAAAGGGGCAUUUGUUUUUGUCAUGAAUGGCUCCAAAGACUGCCAAGUGUCG